rnacentral:rRNA from 1 species
ACCGAAUAGAUACCCAGGUAGUCCACGCCCUAAACGAUGCGAACUGGAUGUUGGGUACAUUACGGUACUCAGUGUUGAAAGCUAAACGCGUUAAGUUCGCCGCCUGGGGAGUACGGUCGCAAGACUGAAACUCAAAGGAAUUGACGGGGGCCCGCACAAGCGGUGGAGUAUGUGGUUUAAUUCGAUGCAACGCGAAGAACCUUACCUGGCCUUGACAUCUGUCGAAUCCUGCAGAGAUGCGGGAGUGCCGCAAGGAACGGCAAGACAGGUGCUGCAUGGCUGUCGUCAGCUCGUGUCGUGAGAUGUUGGGUUAAGUCCCGCAACGAGCGCAACCCUUGUCCCUAGUUGCCAGCACGUAAUGGUGGGAACUCUAGGGAGACUGCCGGUGACAAACCGGAGGAAAGUGGGGAUGACGUCAAGUCCUCAUGGCCCUUACGGCCAGGGCUACACACGUACUACAAUGGUCGGUACAGAGGGUUGCGAAGCCGCGAGGCGAAGCCAAAUCCCAGAAAACCGAUCCCAGUCCGGAUCGGAGUCUGC